GGAAAAUAUUGCAAUCAUUGUUGGUCUUAAGGAUGAUGUUACUCGUCCUGUCAAUUGUACACCUAUUUGUUCAAAACACCGCUGCACUAGAAUGUUUCAGCUGUCAGUCUAUAAACGAUGUCAAUAGUUGCAACAACACACUGGUAUGUAAGGAUGGACAGGCUUGUUUUCUAAAUACUUCAUCGACAAAUCAACAUCACAUGAAUGUACUAGGUUGUAUCGACAAUCAG